rnacentral:rRNA from 2 species
UACAGAGACUGCAAGCGUUAUUCGGAUUCACUGGGCGUAAAGGGUGCGCAGGCGGUCGUGUGUGUCAGAUGUGAAAUCCCGGAGCUUAACUCCGGAACUGCGUCUGAAACUACACGACUAGAGCAUUGGAGAGGGAAGUGGAAUUCAUGGUGUAGCAGUGAAAUGCGUAGAUAUCAUGAGGAACACCAGAGGCGAAGGCGACUUCCUGGACAAUUGCUGACGCUCAGGCACGAAAGCAUGGGGAGCAAAA